AGUGAUACUCUUCGUCUUCUUCUUCCUCCGUCCCACCUUUGGAAAAGUUCUCGAACCUGUUUGUGAAACUUGUGGCGACAUAGGUUUUGAAGAAGCACUUGUCUUUUGUGACUCUUGUAAGAUUGAGUCUAUACACCGCUAUUGCAUAGGCAUAACACCGACUCCUUUUACGGAAUACAUAACUUGGAUCUGUGAGGAUUGUGAUGAGAGUGACAGUGAUUCUGAUUGUAAAGAACUGGAUCAGACUGCUAAGCUUACACAUAUCUUGAAGAAGAGUGACAAAAAGAAGAAGAAGAGGAAGAAGAAGAGUAAAUAUCUUGAUAAAUAUAUUUUAAAAUUACGUCUGUUUAUUGUAACUCUUCGUAGAAGUAUUACUAACUAAUAAAUGUGUUUCUAUAGUCUCUUG